rnacentral:rRNA from 1 species
UGGGCCACCGUUUGUUGAGUGCAAAUAUGGAUGACUGUUUUUGCCGGCUUCACUGUCGGCUUAUAAGGGUUAUCAAAUAUCACUUUGAUUAAAUUAGAGUGCUCAAAGCAAGUGUGUUACUUGGAUAUAAAUGCAUGGAAUGAUGGAAUAUGUUGUUGUUCUAUUUGUCGGUUUUUGAACGAUGAAAUGAUUGAAAGGAACCGUUGGGGGCAUUCGUAUUGUUGUGAGAGAGGUGAAAUUCUUAGACCACAGCAAGACGAACUACUGCGAAAGCAUUUGCCAAGAAUGUUUUCAUUGAUCAAGAACGAAAGUUAGAGGUUCGAAGGCGAUCAGAUACCGCCCUAGUUCUAACCAUAAACUAUGCCAACUAGCAAUCUGCUUAUAUAUGUUCUAUGAUUAAGUAGGCGGCCACGGGAGACCAAAGUAGGGUUAUGGGGGAAGUAUGGUUGCAAAGCUGAAACUUAAAGGAAUUGACGGAAGGGCACCACCAGGAGUGGAGCCUGCGGCUUAAUUUGACUCAACACGGGAAAACUUACCUGGUCCUGACACUAGAAGGAUUGACAGAUUGAUAGCUCUUUCUUGAUUUGGUGGAUGGUGGUGCAUGGCCGUUCUUAGUUGGUGGAGUGAUUUGUCUGGUUAAUUCCGAUAACGAACGAGACCUUAUUCUGCUAAAUAGACAGACUCAUUUUUUAAUGGGGUUGAAGGCUUCGGUCUUUGCUGUCUU